rnacentral:rRNA from 1 species
GACGAACGCUGGCGGCGUGCUUAACACAUGCAAGUCGAACGGAAAGGCCCUGCUUUUGUGGGGUGCUCGAGUGGCGAACGGGUGAGUAACACGUGAGUAACCUGCCCUUGACUUUGGGAUAACUUCAGGAAACUGGGGCUAAUACCGGAUAGGAGCUCCUGCUGCAUGGUGGGGGUUGGAAAGUUUCUGCGGUUGGGGAUGGACUCGCGGGUUAUCAGCUUGUUGGUGGGGUAGUGGCUUACCAAGGCUUUGACGGGUAGCCGGCCUGAGAGGGUGAACGGCGACAUUGGGACUGAGAUACGGACCAGUCUCCUACGGGAGGCAGCAGUGGGGAAUAUUGCACAGUGGGCGGAAGCCUGAUGCAGCAACGCCGCGUGCGGGAUGACGGCCUUCGGGUUGUAAACCGCUUUCGCCUGUGACGAAGCGUGAGUGACGGUAAUGGGUAAAGAAGCACCGGCUAACUACGUG